CCUUGUACACACCGCCCGUCACACCAUAGGAGUGGGUUGUACCAGAAGUAGGUAGAAUAACCGCAAGGGGUUCGCUUACCACGGUAUGAUUCAUGACUGGGGUG
rnacentral:rRNA from 1 species